rnacentral:tRNA from 1 species
UUCCUGGUCUAGUGGUUAGGCUACAGCUCUCUCACUGCUGCGGCCCGGGUUCGAUUCCCGGCCAGGAAA